UGGUCAUUGAUAAGACCCAAAAAUGUCUUGAAGAGAUAUGAUUACAUAAAAAUCAUCCUCAAAGAAUUACCCCAUGACCC